CCCCCCCCCCCCCCCCCCCCGCAGCCUUGUGCUGACCUGUUACCGUGGGCUUCAGGAGCUUUGGUGAAACUCUGGCGAAAUAUCCACCUUCGGAACAUUGAAAAAAUGGCCGCUCCUCGUUUGCCAACAACUGGGCAAAGGACUAGCAAACAGAAGCAGAGCAAGAGACGUCAGGCAGCUCAGAGGAUUCAGAAGCAACGCAGAAUUAGAACCAUUUCUGCUCGACUGCUUCCCCCUCAAGUGUUGAACAUCCGUCUGGAUUCAAUUUCAAACGUGAAUGUGCUCGCAUGAGCAGGACCCUCCAACCUCCGCAUCUGCUGUCGUAAAAGCGAGCGCACACACGCACGCUGGUUGAGCACGUGUACUGUUCGGUUCUUCACUUGAAGACGGGAGUUAACUGGAGUCCAGCUUUUGAAAACUCUUUUGAAGACUUUGGAUUUUAGUUGAGACAUGGCACGCUGCUAUAAAUUGGCCCAUAAUAUCCUUACUGGCCGUAUUGGUCCUCUCUCUGUAUGAAGACUAGACUACUCUCAAAGACUGGACUACUUCAUUAAUGUACUCCAAAAAAAGAAAAAAGUACUUGAAUUGACUUAGUUUGAACAUGUUGCACGUGAUUAAAAUGGGUUAAACUAACACAUCAUUUGCUUAUUUUAAAGGAAAGAAAGGGAUCAUUCUGUCAGUUGACCACAUUUGAAUCAACAAUCAAUCAAUCAAGAAAUUGAGAACCUUUUUUUCAGUGUACGGUCACCUGAUUUGUGACUUUGGACUCGAGUUAUGGCCGGACCUGGCGUGAAACGAGCUGCGUCAUUUUCAUGACGAUUGAGUGAUUCUGAUGAGGACGCCAAAGGCACGUCGUAGUGGUAUUGACCCCAUUAAGACGGACUGACAUUUGACCGGUUGCGUGCCUUUUUCACAUUAUUCACGAUAUGAUGUUCAGAGGAAACGCUUGGCGUUGCGGUCACGGGUCAAGUGACUUUCCCAGGCUAAAGUGUGUUUCCCAGCACGGAGGGACACUGUGUGUGUGUGUGUGUGUGUGCGUGUGUGUGUGUGUGUGGAUUCGAGAGGGGAAGUCCACAGCUCAAGGCUGCGUUUCUGAUGUUCACACUUGUUUGCAGCGGACAAGUGAGGAGAAAUCGCAAAGUUUUGUUUUGUGACAAAAUUGCAGGAAAUGGUGACAGUUGCAAUUUUUUGGUUCUGAAAGAAAAUGUUGCCUUCACACUUGCAUUCACGCAAAAAGUGAUGGCGACAUGUGGAAAGCGUGCUGACAUUUUUGUCGGGAGAUGAGAAAUGUUUGAGUUGCACAGGCAUGUACUUCAUCUUCACGGCGAAAACGAGGACGUGUGCAGUAACAUUUGCGCAAGUGGUGAAACCCGUGAAAAUCAAAUCUCAAGCGUGCGCAUAAUUCUCAGGAUUGGUUGGAUUUGUGAGGAUUGUUGCGAUCACGAUAUCGCAAAGGCGCAGCGCAAGGGUCCGCCACCUGCGGCUCAAAAGCGCUUUCGUCCGUCUGAGGAAAAUAAAUAACAAUUAUGUCAUUUUGACUUCCUUCCUUAGUUUUUCAAAUAUAAUUUAAAAUUUGAUUAUGAUGCUCCUGCAACAUUAAAAUAAAAUAAAAAUUGUCGCUUGAAAUAUGCGUCACAAGCGCUGAAGUGCGACACCUGGCGCCAAGAUUUAUUGAGCGAUAUUUGACUCCUGGUUGGUUAAGCCCAAGAAAAGUCAAGUUUCUGAUGAACGGCUAAUGCUACGAGCUACAUGAACGAUGUUAAAAGCAAAACACGCCCACGCGGGCCUCACGGGUGGCGGCUUACGAUCGUGUGUGAAGACGAAGAUGACGCCGACGGCCCUGAUGUGUCCGCACGGCGCUGAGGUUAAGGAGCAAAAAUCAUAUCAACCGGGUCAAACAAAUAUUCAAAUUGGCUAUUAUUUUGCAAAUAUACAGAGUAUUUGACAUUGUUUCGUGAAAUGGCCCUUUUUCAUUCGAGCUGAAAACUGACUGCACGCUCCACAUGCGAUAAAAUGAUGACAGAAGACAACAGAAGGUUGAAGAAUCUUAUGAAGACAAGGAGGACACUGACUAUUUUAUUUGAAAGCAAGCGUCAACCAAGCGUCUUUUUUUGUUACAUGCAGAAAUCAAAUUUUGUCUUCCCGAUAGCAAGUCAUUGACUCCAUAAAUGCAACACACCAUAGUUGUUUAUUGUGUUAUAUAUUUAUAGACACACACAGGUG